UACGAAGGUCCCGAGCGUUGUUCGGAAUCACUGGGCGUAAAGGGAGCGUAGGCGGCGCGGUAAGUCAGAUGUGAAAUCCCGGGGCUCAACCCCGGAACUGCAUCCGAUACUGCCGUGCUAGAGGAUUGGAGAGGUAGCUGGAAUUCUUGGUGUAGCAGUGAAAUGCGUGGAGAUCAAGAGGAACACUCGUGGCGAAAGCGAGCUACUGGACAAUAUCUGACGCUGAGGCUCGAAGGCCAGGGUAGCGGAAGGG
rnacentral:rRNA from 1 species